AAAACAUGUCCUUUUGUUUAUAUAAAAGGUCUGACCUGCCCUAUGAUUUUUAUUUAAUGGCUGCAGUAUUUUGACUGUACAAAGGUAGCAUAAUCAUUUGUCUUUUAAUUGAAGUCUGGAAUGAAUGGUUUGAUGAAAAAUAUACUUUCUUUAUUUUAUAUAAAAAAUUUAAUUUUUUAGUCAAAAAGCUAAAAUUUUUUUAUAGGACGAGAAGACCCUAUAGAACUUUAUUUUUAUUAAUUUUGUAAUUAGAUUAGGAAAUGUCUUGAUACAUGAUUGAGAAAAUUUUGUUGGGGUGACAGAAAAAAUUAAAUAACUUUUUCUUAUUUAAUCAUUAUUAGUGAAUUUUUGAUCCUUUUUUAGGGAUGGAAGAUUAAGUUACCUUAGGGAUAACAGCGUUAUUGUUUCAGAGAGUUCCUAUCGAUGAAAUAGUUUGCGACCUCGAUGUUGGAUUAUAAUAAGAUGUAGGAGUAGAAUAUUAUGUUCUAGGUCUGUUCGACCUUUAAAUUUUUACAUG
rnacentral:rRNA from 1 species